rnacentral:pre_miRNA from 1 species
UACACAUUUCUUGUUCAGGUUGAAUUUGAGAAGUUGAGGUAGGUUUACCAACUCUUGAAUUUCUCACACUCUCGAUCAAGUUUCUCUUAUCGAGUUUGGUUUCUCAAACCCACCUCAAAUUCUCCAAUUCCACCAGAACCUUAAAAAUCUUUA